UCGAGUGUUUUGAUUGUUCUGC
rnacentral:siRNA from 1 species